UACAGAGGUCCCAAGCGUUGUUCGGAUUCAUUGGGCGUAAAGGGUGCGUAGGUGGCGCCGUAAGUCGGGGUGUGAAAUUUCGGGAGCUUAACUCCGAAACUGCAUUCGAUACUGCGGUGCUUGAGGACUGGGAGAGGAGACUGGGAAUUCAUGGUGUAGCAGUGAAAUGCGUAGAGAUCAUGAGGAAGACCAGUGGCGAAGGCGGGUCUCUGGACAGUUCCUGACACUGAGGCACGAAGGCCAGGGGAGCAAACGGG
rnacentral:rRNA from 1 species